CGCGGCAAGACGGAAAGACCCCGUGAACCUUUACUAUAGCUUGACACUGAACAUUGAGCCUUGAUGUGUAGGAUAGGUGGGAGGCUUAGAAGUGUGGACGCCAGUCUGCAUGGAGCCGACCUUGAAAUACCACCCUUUAAUGUUUGAUGUUCUAACGUUGACCCGUGAUCCGGGUUGCGGACAGUGUCUGGUGGGUAGUUUGACUGGGGCGGUCUCCUCCUAAAGAGUAACGGAGGAGCACGAAGGUUGGCUAA
rnacentral:rRNA from 1 species